rnacentral:rRNA from 1 species
UUUCCGGUUGAUCCUGCCGGACCCGACUGCUAUCAGAAUAGGACUAAGCCAUGCGAGUCAACGUAGCAAUACGUGGCAUACGGCUCAGUAACACGUAGUCAACAUGCCCAGGGGACGUGGAUAACCUCGGGAAACUGAGGAUAAACCGCGAUAGGUCAUAAUGUCUGGAAUGAUUUAUGGCUAAAAUCUACAUGGCCCCUGGAUUGGACUGCGGCCGAUCAGGCUGUUGGUGAGGUAAUGGCCCACCAAACCUAAAACCGGUACGGGCUCUGAGAGGAGAAGCCCGGAGAUGGGCACUGAGACAAGGGCCCAGGCCCUAUGGGGCGCAGCAGGCGCGAAAACUCUGCAAUAAGCGAAAGCUUGACAGGGUUAUUCUGAGUGAUUUCCGCUAAGGAGAUCUUUUGGCACCUCUAAAAAUGGUGCAGAAUAAGGGGUGGGCAAGCCUGGUGUCAGCCGCCGCGGUAAUACCAGCACCCCGAGUGGUCGGGACGAUUAUUGGGCCUAAAGCAUCCGUAGCCGGUUCUACAAGUCUUCCGUUAAAUCCACCUGCUUAACAGUUGGGCUGCAGAGGAUACUAUAGAGCUAGGAGGCGGGAGAGGCAAGCGGUACUUAGUGGGGAGGGGUAAAAUCCGUUGAUCCACUGAAGACCACCAGUGGCGAAGGCGGUUUGCCAGAACGCGCUCGACGGUGAGGGAUGAAAGCUGGGGGAGCAAACCGGAUUAGAUACCCGGGUAGUCCCAGCUGUAAACGAUGCAGACUCGGUGAUGAAUAGGCUUCGUGCCUAUUCAGUGCCGCAGGGAAGCCGUUAAGUCUGCCGCCUGGGGAGUACGGUCGCAAGACUGAAACUUAAAGGAAUUGGCGGGGGAGCACCACAAGGGGUGAAGCCUGCGGUUCAAUUGGAGUCAACGCCGGA